GUAAUUCCGGUGAAGAUGCCGGAUACCUGCGACAGGACGGAAAGACCCCAUGGAGCUUUACUGUAGCUUGACAUUGGGUCUUGGUACUACAUGUACAGGAUAGGUGGGAGGCUUUGAAACCAGGACGCCAGUUUUGGCGGAGCCAUCCUUGGGAUACCACCCUUGUAGUACUGGGACUCUAACCAUAGGCCAUGAAUCUGGUCUUGGGACACUGUCAGGUGGGCAGUUUGACUGGGGCGGUCGCCGCCCAAAAGGUAACGGAGGCGCUCAAAGGUUCUCUCAGUACGGUCGGAAAUCGUACGUAGAGUGUAAAGGCAAAAGAGAGCUUGAUUGCAAGACAUACAGGUCGAGCAAGGAUGAAAAUCGGACUUAGUGA
rnacentral:rRNA from 1 species